GUUUGAUAUCUUCUGAGAGUAAAGACACAUAGAGACACGACUUUUCUCAACAUUGAACCUUUGAACUUGUUCCUAGUACAUUUAUUUUUUUAACAUUUUGAGAAGAUACUUCAGCUGCCACACUCAGCUUUGAGCUCCCGGCUGCAGGUGUCCCAUUUUGUGAUGGCUUCAAAUAUGUUCUCCACUAAAUCUGCCCAGGAUGACCAGGUAGCUCAAACUAACAAGUGCAGUCUUUCCUGGGCCAGUGCACCUUCGGCACAGUUGCAAAGUGCACGAGGAUAGCCGUCAAGAAGACAGCAGCCAUCAAAAUGAUGAAGAAUCAGGGCCCUUUAGUCACACAGGCAAAACAAGAGGUGGCCGUCCUGUUAAAACUGAGAUCGCUGGACUCGGACAAAUGCAACUUAGUUUGAUGGUUUGAGCACUUGGACAAAAGUCUUUUAGACUUCAUGAAGGAAAGAUAUUUCCGACCUCUCCUUCUGAAGGAGAUCAGACCUAUUGUCCAGCAGGUAUGUUCUGAUGUAUUUCUUUCUGCUUUAAAAACACUGGCCGGUGACGUGUCAGCUGCCAUGCGGGGCUCGUACAUUCAGACCUGUCCCUUCAGGUGAGUGACUGGAACCAUGGUUGAUCUGUUAGUGGUGUAUUGGUGGCUGUAAAGGAGGGUAUAGUAGAAGUUAUUUUACUGUCGAAAUAGUGGAAAUUGUACUUUAUGGCUAGUGUAAUCAUGGUUGUUUGUCUUCUCUCAGGUCUCCAGAGAUUAUAUUGGGGCUUCCAUUCACAGAGGCUAUAGACAUGGUCUUUGGGCUGCAUGGCCGCUACGCUGUACCUCGGCACUCUACUCUAUCCCGGCAGUAGUGAAUAUUAUAUGAUUAGGUACAUAGUGGAGACUCAGGGUGAGCCACCAGACAACCUGCUCACCAAGGGAUACAAGCAGGGCUUAAUUUGAGCCGGAACAUGUUCCGGCA